UCAGUAGCUUUUCUGGCUCUUAAACUGUAAAGGAAUUAUAUAACACCUAAUAUUAUGAAAUUCAACUAUGCUCUUUAUGUAAUUGUGGUGUAUUUAUUCUCAUCUCUACGCAGAAUGUUCCAUGGUGUAAAGGACUAUCUAAUAUUGAUGGGAAUUUUCUUAAACUUUCUUGUCUAGGACUUCUAGAAACAUAGCUGUUGGGAAUAUUAUUUAUGUUACUUCUGGCUACAAUGCAUCCAUACUUAGCCUGAGUACGUACCGAAGAGUGGGAAUGUUGUAUCACAGAGAAUGUGGACUUUCAACUUCAGCAGAGACCACUAACAGCUUCCCAAAGCGGUUACCUAUCUUCACACAUCCCUCAAGUAAAAGCCCCCAGGAUAUCCCUAGCGUACUCAUCCUCAGUGCUGUCUGUCUCCUGUAUUGGGCUGUAUGUCCAAUACAAAGAUGUCCAUACCCUAUUCUCUGAAGCUCUAAGUAUUUUCUCAAACAGAGGAAGAAUGUGAGGAGAUCUCACCCUGGAUUAAUCAGGUCAUGUUUAUCCAUAUGCUUGUUACUGUGGGGAAGCUGGCUGCUGCAUCAUAAAGGCUCGUUGGUACUGGAAAGCUGAAGGAAGAGAUCACUUCCAUUGAAAUUCAAAGCCACCCUACACAAUAUAGUGAAACCCCCACUUCAAAAAAGCACCCAGUGCAGAAGCACAGAGACAGAAUUAACAAUACUAGGAAGACCGAGGCAAGAAGAUCAGACAGCAAGUUCCAGGACGGCCAGUGCUACACCUACCUUGUCUCAAAAAAUAAAACAAAGAAUUUGUCUUUUUCAAUCUGUUGGCAUAUAAAUCAGCAGUAUAAAAAAGAGGAUAAAACAGCUGAUAUCUUAGAGGUGGCACUGAAUUGUGUCAGAAGUUGUUAUACACUUUAUUAUUAUACAUUAAACAUGAAAGACAACAGUUCUUUUUGAAAAUUCAUUUUAUAUUUUAAGGCUCUCAUAUAGCCUAGGCUGGCCUACGUAGCUAUUUGGCUAAAUUUUUAUCUAAACCCUCUACCUCUCAAGUGCUAAGAUUACAGACAUGUGCUACUACUUACAAACUAUUGCUGGUGAUGGAACCCUGGGCAAUCAUUCUACCAACUCGGCUACCUCUAAAACUCCUGGGAAGGUCUUUAUCUCUUCUUAAAAGUUAAUCUUAUAGAGGUUAGAGGGAUGGGUAGCUAUGUGAGCAUGUUGCUCAGAGGAAAACCAUUACAUAAAAUCAUAACCAAUCAAAACGCAGAGUCAUGAAGUCCCACUGGAUGUAUCUACAAAACAUUCCUGCACCCAGGAGUAUUCUGCUCAAGGAGUAUUGCAGAAGAGGAGGCAGAAAGACUGUAAGAGCAAGAGGAUCAUGGAGGUUGUCCUUUCUUCUAGUAAUAUCAAACCCAUAAAGUCUUACCAACAUGAAUGGAAGAAAGUCCAUAAGGCCUUAAUCCUACACAAUCUUUUAAGUUCUUUUGUAUUAGUUCUCAACUAAGAAAUGAUGGCAGCAGGACUAAUAGUCUUCCCCAGGGCAAAACACACCAACUGACUACUGGAUACCAUAUGAUUAGUCCUAAAAUCAUACAUAUAAGUAACAUCAUAUACACUGAGCAUGUUAUAUUUAGGCAUGAAUAUACAUGAAUAUGUGUGUGUACAUGCAGGUAAUGAAGACACCAUGAAUUUGAAAGAGUGUAUGGGGGAGUAAUAUGGGAGUUUGGAGGGAGGAAAGGAAAUGGAGAAAUGACAUAAUUAUAUUAUAAUCUCAACAUUAAAAGGGAAAAAAGUAUACUGCUCUCUUUUUUAAAGGCUUAUUUACUUUAUGUAUAUGGGUGCUUUUCCUGGAAGUAUGUCUGAAUACCACAUGCAUGUCUGGUGCCAUGAUAUCAGAAGAGAAUGUUGGAUCUCCUGGAACUAGAGUUCAAGAUGGCUGUGAGCCUAUGUGAUGGUUUAAGUGAGAAUCACCCCCAUAAGCUCAUAUUUGAAAGCUUAAUCACCAAGGAGUAGAACUAUGUGAAAAGAUUAGGAGGUGGAAAGAAGUAUGUCACUGGGGAUGGUCUUUCAGGGUUGGAAAGCCCACAACAGGCCCAAUCUAUCUGUCUCUAUCUCUUUCUCAGACUUUGGAUCAGCUACUCCUCUAGUACCAUGUAUCCCUUUUAUGCCUCCAUGCUUCAAACCACAACAAUGCAAGAAACCUUGGAAAGUGUAAGGAAGCCCCCAAUAUAAUGCUUUCUUUAAGUGUUGCCUUGGUCAUGGUAUCACUUUAUAACAAUACAACAGUGACUAGGAUAGCUGCCAUGUGGGUGCUAGAAACUGAUUCUGAGUCUUUGCAAGAGCAGAAGGUACCCUUAACUGCUGAGCUAUCCCUCUAUUCCCAAAUAUUAGUUCCUAAUGAAACAAUACAAUUAUUAAUUUUAUUUAAUCUUUUUACAGAGUCUGCCAAAGUUUAUUCCUCUUUGAACCUUUCUGGGGUCAUGGCACCCUAGAAUAAAGCCUUCUUCGUGGUAGUUUCCUGUCCAUAUGAUACCAAUGGAAGUCUCUUUGAACUUUUCAUGGCUCUCAUUUCAGAGAACAGGCCUGCUUGCUGAGGAAACAGACUCCUACAAACCCAGAGGCAGACUGUUACAGCUACAGCUGCUGUAAUCAGGAGCAGUGCCUUCAGGAUCAACUGAAAGUUGAAUGAUGGACAAAUAACCUGUCUUUGAGGAUAGAAAAGAGAAAAAUCAGAUUUAAUACACAAAGCAUUUUUCUUUUCUUCUCAGAGUUGUAUUUUCGAUUUUCUAGAAUAGGGUUGGCAAACUUUUCCUCUAAGCACCAAUAAUAAAUACUGGGCUUUGUGAACUA